GAUGAAGAACGCAGUGAAAUGCGAUAAGUAAUGUGAAUUGCAGAAUUCAGUGAAUCAUCGAAUCUUUGAACGCAACUUGCGCUCCUUGGUAUUCCAUGGAGCAUGCCUGUUUGAGUGUCACGUAAACCCUCGCCCCUUGCGAUGUAACAGUCGCACCGUGGUGGAUUUGGACCGUGCCGUAGUCGGCUCGUCCUGAAAUGCAUUAGCUUGCGCUUUGUUACAGUGCUCGGCAUGGUGUGAUAAUUAUCUGCGCCGUCGCCUUAGGCCUGUUCUGUGUGCGCUGCUUCCAAUCGUCCCUCGUGGACAACUUUACACAACACUUUGGCCUCAAAUCAGGUAGGACUACCCGCUGAACUUAAGCAUAUCAAUAAGCGGAGGA
rnacentral:misc_RNA from 1 species